ensembl:misc_RNA
UAAACCCUGCUCAGAAGUCAAGAGCAGCAGCGCCGCCGCUCUUCGCGGCCUUUCAUGCCGCAGCCACUCCUUAUUCUUGUGCCUCGGCCUCUCUGGGCGCCCCCGGACAAAGCCCCCCGGAGCCCGGCCGCUCCCUUCCCGCUAAAUCCCCUUCGGGGUCAGCGCGCUACCAGCACCGGGCCGUGCGCCUCUCCUGCCAGUUCUUGUGGCUCUUAAAGAGCGGCACCCCCCCUCCGCCCCGCGCGCUCCUCCGACCCCCGUCUCCCCGCCCCUCUCCUCUGGAUCUAGCCCCCAACUCCGAGGUCCCUGCUGCCCUGAC